rnacentral:lncRNA from 1 species
UCACAGACCCCCAAACUGGAACUGCCGGGACGACGACUGCCAACCGGCCACACGACCCAGGCAGAGACGCGGGGACACGCUGACCAGAAGAAAGGCCGACGUGCAAGAAACCCACCCUCCGGCGCACAGGGCACAUGUGUCCCAAGGCGCACGCACACACAGACGGACAGAGACAGACAGAGAGGGCGACGGAAACAGCGAGAAGGGAGAGAGAGAGAGAGAGAGAGAGAGAGAGAGAGAGAGAGAGAGAGAGAGAGACGUGAGAGAGAGACAGAAGUCGGCACACAGACACGCACUGCGCGCGCACACACACAGACACACACACAGACGCAUCCCCCCAACACACACACACACACCCAUAACGAACACACACGUACAGCAGGGAACACCCACCCGCAGGCAGCCCCU